AACGCGAAGAACCUUACCAAGGUUUGACAUGGGCCGAAAACUCGUAGAGAUACGGGGUCCUUCGGGGCGGUUCACAGGUGGUGCAUGGCUGUCGUCAGCUCGUGUCGUGAGAUGUUGGGUUAAGUCCCGCAACGAGCGCAACCCUCGUCCUAUGUUGCCAGCGGGUUAUGCCGGGAACUCAUGGGAGACUGCCGGGGUCAACUCGGAGGAAGGUGGGGAUGACGUCAAGUCAUCAUGCCCCUUAUGUCUUGGGCUGCAAACAUGCUACAAUGGCCGGUACAAAGGGCUGCGAGCCUGUGAGGGUGAGCGAAUCCCGGAAAGCCGGUCUCAGUUCGGAUCGGGGUCUGCAACCCGGCCCCGUGAAGUUGGAGUCGCUAGUAAUCGCGGAUCAGCAAUGCCGCGGUGAAUACGUUCCCGGGCCUUGUACACACCGCUCGCGA
rnacentral:rRNA from 1 species